AGAUAGUAGCUAAGUAAGUGUAUGUUUUGAAAACAUUUGAUAAAGUUUAGUUUAAUUUAUUAAUUU
rnacentral:tRNA from 1 species